CGGACGGGUGAGUAAUGCUUGGGAAUCUAGCUUAUGAGGGGGAGUAAUACGGGAAACUGUAGCUAAUACCGCGUAAUAUCGAAAGAUUAAAGUGUGGGACCUUCGGGCCACGUGCCAUAGGAUGAGCCCAAGUGGGAUUAGGUAGUUGGUGAGGUAAAGGCUCACCAAGCCGACGAUCUCUAGCUGGUCUGAGAGGAUGACCAGCCACACUGGGACUGAGACACGGCCCAG
rnacentral:rRNA from 1 species